CGCUCUUUGUAUUCUAUUAAAUAAGGAGUCGUGCCUGCCCAGUGAUAAAUUUAACGGCCGCAGUACCCUGACUGUGCUAAGGUAGCAUAAUCACUUGUUUUUUAAUUGAAAACUCGUAUGAAUGGCUUGACGUGAAUACUACUGUCUCUUUUAUAUUAAAUAAAAUUUAAUUUUAGAGUGAAGAAGCUCUAAUAAAACCAAAAGACGAAAAGACCCUAUAGAGCUUGAAAUACAAUUUAUUGCUUAAAUUUUUGAACAAUUAUUAAUAAAAAAAUAUUUUUUGUUGGGGCGACAAAAGAACAAAUAAAGCUUCUUUUUAUUUUCCUUAUUAUAAUUAAUGAGCUAGUCAAUAUUAAUUAAAAGAAAAGCUACCUUAGGGAUAACAGCGUAAUUUUUUCAGAAAGCUCUAAUUAAAGAAAAAGUUUGCGACCUCGAUGUUGGAUUAGAAAUACUUUUAGGUGCAGAAGCUUAAAAAAGUAGGUCUGUUCGACCUUUAAUAUUCU
rnacentral:rRNA from 1 species